rnacentral:rRNA from 1 species
UACGGAGGAUCCAAGCGUUAUCCGGAUUUAUUGGGUUUAAAGGGUGCGUAGGUGGCCUGUUAAGUCAGGGGUGAAAGACGGUAGCCUUAACUAUCGCAGUGCCCUUGAUACUGAUGGGCUUGAAUAAACUAGAGGUAGGCGGAAUGUGACAAGUAGCGGUGAAAUGCAUAGAUAUGUCACAGAACACCAAUUGCGAAGGCAGCUUACUAUGGUUUUAUUGACACUGAGGCACGAAAGCGUGGGGAUCAAACAGG